CGGGACGUGGCUCAGCUCUGGUAGAGCACUGCGUUCGGGACGCAGGGGUCGCUGGUUCAAAUCCAGUCGUCCCGACCA
rnacentral:tRNA from 1 species